rnacentral:rRNA from 1 species
AUGCCACCCACCAAAAAAAGAUCAAAUGGUGUUGGUGGACGUCCAGAAAAAAUAAAUGGCACAAAUGGACAGCCCAGAAAAGCCCGUGAGGCCAGUGGCGGAUCACAACACUCGACGCGCACCGCCUCCUCCUUCCACUGGCACCGUGUUCGCCAUGCCCUAGGCGCCGUCGCCGCUGUCUCCACCGGCACCGCCUCCCCAUUCCAUCCCUUCCUUCCAUGUCGCCGCAGUCGCCACCAUGUUUCUCGAAGAGGCCGCUGUCGGGAAGCGCCGAGGACCGAGCCGAACCUUGCGGGGGUACCAUCUCUGCAAUCCUGA